rnacentral:lncRNA from 1 species
GUUCAGCCACUCCUAAUCUUUGCUCCUCCCCAAAAGUGCUGCGCUGCUCUCUCUCUCUCAAGAAAUCCAUCAACACUUCCACCACCGCAUUACUAAAAUUUUUAAAACGACCCUGAACUCCUUGACACUCCCAUUUAACUCCGGCGUCUCUUUCCCACAUCCAAAUUCACCUUCAUUUCUUCACCAAAUCAUGCUUUCACUCAACAUCCACGGCCACCUUGAAGAAGCAGACCCGUUUCUAUGUGCAUCUCAACUCGACCCAAGAAUAUUCCAGGCCCCCAGAAAAGAACUUCUCAUCUUCCGAAGCAGAGGACCUGGUUUCGUUCAAUCUUGAGAAUUCAGAGAGAACAAACCACUGGUGACUACUCUCGGUAAGUAUGCCAAGUUUUUGAGAACUGUGUAUUGUUUUAUGCUCUUUGAAGAGCUUGUGAAGAAUGAUAAAUGGCUGCAGUGUCUUGAGGUUUGGUCCCUUGUCAAAGAUUUCAAUUUUUUUCCAUCAUUUUCUUAUUAUUCAUACAUUUACUAAACUUCUUGAGCUAUCUGUUUAGUUAUCUAGGUAUGUUAGGGAUUGUAACUUUAGUACUUUUCGUUGAUUUUAGCAAUUUAAAUGGAAAUUUGAACUUUGCCCAUUUUUACUUUAGUUUGCCUGGAGCUAUGCCCUCAACAAACCCUACAUUUUCGUGUCAUUCUUUUGACAAUAGCCAACUGUCUUGAAAUGUAAGUCAGAGAACACCCAAUGUGAUUUCGAAAAAGAGACGAGGAACGUGUAAAUUUUAUGUGUAGAAAUAUUCGUUGUUGAUUUUAUCCUUUUACCGAUGCAGAUUAUCUUGCUGAUAGAGUCUAUAACCUCAUUCUAGUUUUACUAGAUAAAACUCUGAUAUCUCAAGCUCUGUCUUUGUAAUUUUAUCUACCACAGAUAAUAUUAUGCAUUUUUUCACAUAGGUCUUCUCAAGCGCAUAUCCUAAUUGGUUCGUGUUGACUUUAUAUUGUGAUGUCUGUUUUUAGGGGAUGGGGUGAAUUUUAUUCAUGUACCUGAGCAUGUGCAAUUUUGCUGUACUCAAAAUAUGCAUGUCAAUGUGAGUGCCUGUGGAUAUGUGAUGGUUUGCCUCAUGCGAGUGUGCUUGACAGAAGAUGCAAAAUUUUGUUAUUAUAUUGAGAUAUACACAAACCAAGUGUAAGUCUUCUUCAUUUGUGUAUGAAGCACUUCGUGAACUUGAACUCAUAUUGGUGUAAAUUUUGGAGACAAUUGAAAGAUUAACUAAUUUCUUGUGAACUGAAGAUUUGUCGAGGGUUAAGGCAAGAACAAAUGAAGGUAUAGUAUGCUAACUUAUAGAAGAUAAUGAAAGAAAAUACUAAGAUAUGUGGUUGAGAUUCGGAUGAAAUUCAUUCCACGGUUGAGAUCAAAUGGUACAUAUAUCUUUUCUUGUAAAGGAUAAUGAAGCUAAAGAUAAUGUGAAAAUAAAAGUGCAGUUGAGAUUCGAAUGAAAUCCAUUCAACUACUAUUUGAUCUCAACAGUUGAAUCGCACGCAUUUAUUUACGCAUUAUCUUUUGCUUCAUUAAAAAUUAAUGAAGCAAAAGAUAAUGUGUAAAUAAAUGUGCGUGGUUGAGACUUGAAUGAAAUCCAUUCAAUGUUUGAGAUCAAUUAGUACAUAUAGCUUGUCUUAUAAAGGAUAAUGAAAUCAUUCAACGGUUGAAAUCGAAUAGUCCAUUCAAUCGUAUCUCUAUAAAUGUGAAUCCCUCAUUCAAUUCAGUUCAUCGUAAGUACGAAUUUCAAUAUUGGAGGUCCAUCAAAUAUUUCAUCUUCUGCUUCAUCUUCAUUAUCCGGCGGUGAAAGUGAUAAUAAAGUAACACUUUCAAAUGAGCUUGAAUAUAUAAAUGUGAAUCCCUCACUCAAUUCAAUUCAUCGUCAAGUAUGAAUUUCAAUAUUGGAGGUCCAUCCAAUAUUUCAUCUUCUGCUUCUGACAGUGAAAGUGAUAAUGAAGUAACAUUUACGAAUGAGCUUGAAUCUAUUGGUGCAGAACAAGAAGCGAUUCUUCGCAUUUAUUCCAACGACAUCCUUGUUGAUCAUUAUUUCAGUCAAUAAAACAGCGAACCGAUCCAUGAAGGUUCCACUUACAGUCAUGUGAUAAUCCACCAGGAUCGAAAAAUGUUGAUAGAAAUAUGUUUGAUGACUAUUUUUCUAAGACGCCAUGUUAUAAUGAAAAUUUAUUUAGUCGAUGAUUUCGAAUGUCUUGAAGUUUAUAUGUAUGUAUUCUUGAGGCCAUGCAAGAUCAUGACAACUAUUUCGUACGGAGAAGGGACUCGAAUUAUCAGCUUAUUAAAAAAUAACAGUUGUAUUUCAUUCGUAUGGAGUCGUAGCAGAUGCUAUAUAUGAAUACAUUAAAAUAGGAGAAUCCACUGCAACUCAAAGUUUUAAGAGAUUUUGUCGUGCUAUUGUGGAGGUGUUUGGAGAUCAAUAUCUAAGAUCCCCUAAUGCUAAUGACAUUAUGAGGCAACUCUGUAUUGGUGAAUAAUGUGGUUUUCGAGGAAUGCUGGGUAGUCUAUAUUGUAUGCACUAGAAGUGGAAAGAUUGUCCAAUGGCUUGGGCAAGACAAUAUGCAAGUCCUAGUAAAACGCAACUAUUGUUCUUGAGGUUGUAGCUGAUUAUAAUCAUUGGAUUUGGCACGCAUAUUUUGAUUUACCAGGUUCCAACAAUAAUAUUAAUGUGUUGGAGGCAUCUCACCUUUUCGCGAACCUAAUCGAAGGUAUUGCUCCUCCCGUUCAUUAUGUUAUUCAAGGAAAUGAAUAUAAUAUGGGUUAUUAUAUAGCAGAUAGUGUAUACCCAAAAUUGUCUACUUUUGUUCAAACAAUUCAUGAUCCAUGCGGUCCCAAAAAAAAAUUAUUUGCUAUGAAACAAGAAGGAUGUAGAAAAGAUAUAGAAUGUGCAUUUGGUGUUCUGCAAUCAAAAUUCAAAAUUGUGUACAUGUAUGUGGGACAAACUUGUCUUAAAUGAUAUAAUGACUGCGUGCAUAAUUACGUACAAUAUGAUAAUUGAGGAUGAAUGUGAUGUUAAUGCCCAAAUUGAAGAUUUGAUGGAAGUGUCAACUUCGGAAAUCAGAGUUGAUUGUAGAUGAAAAUACCCUACUUUAAGAAUUCCUUUCUCAACAUAGACAAAUCAAGGAUGUAGAUGCGUACCUUGCACUUCGAGAUGCGUUAGUUGAUCAUAUAUGGGAUGAAUACACUAAUUCCGAUCGAUAAGUGACAAAAUGAGUUGUUCUUCUCGCUAUAUGUAAUUUUCCUCGUGUGUUUAAUGUGGUUUUUAUAAUUUGUGGUAAUAUGUUUAAUGUCUUUUUCAUUUUAUUAAUAAAUUCAAUAUUUUACUUCAUUAAAUAUAUAAUUAAUGACUUCUGUAAUAAUAUAAUUUCUAAAAUAAAAUUUAGUGUAAGAGAUAGAAAGUGGGAGGUAGGAGAAAUAAUAUUUAAAUAAUAUAUGUUAAGAUUUGACAUUGUUGAUGGGGAUAUACUUAAUUAACUAAUUACCAAAAUUCCUUUCAAUAUAUAUAUAUAUAUAUAUGAAAUGUUAAAAUAAUUCUCCAAAUAGGUAGUAUAGUCAAGAAGUUUUAUUCAAAUUAAAAAUCACAGGGGCGGGAGAGUUUUGUGCUCAUCGACAAAGAAAAUAUGGAAAUGAACGAACCUUACCUCAGACUAAUUGGAGUUUCAUGCAUAAAAUUAAUAGCUGCUCUCUUAGUUUAUGUGGCUGUUGUAUCAAUGACUGAUGGUGGGUCAUGGCUUGGUAGUACGUGUUGAGGGGAAGUAAGUUACUGAACAAAAAUGUUUAGGAGUGGUAAAGCAAAUUCUGAGGCAUCUUAGUAUCUCAGUUUACACAGAAAUCUAAGUUAGAAAGGUCCCACCCCACUUCUUGUCCUUUGUUACUAUUGUAGUGAGCUCCAUUAACUCUGGAAUUUUGUUAUCAUUAACAAAAUGAAAACGUUCGUUACUUAUGUCUCUACAUUCAGGUGUUCAGAUGGAUGCAAAAGCUGCGGUGGUACAUAGCGGACAAUGGGGGUCUAUUCUAAGUUGAUAUUAGUUAUGGGAGAAAAGGGGCAAACUCAGAUGGACACUGGCUUUUUCUGAGAUGCAUAAUAGUGGUUGUAGGCCUGAUACAUCGGUCUUCAAUGCACUGAUCACUGCUCACACCUUCACUUCCGGGAUAAAUCUAAGGCGGUGGCCAAGGAUCUGGGAUAUUUUGACAAGAUGAAGCGAAUGGAGCGUUUUAAACCCAAUGUUGUAACAUAUGACAUCCUUUUGCGAGCUUUUUCUCAGGCAAAAAAUGUUGGUCAAGUUAAAUGUUUUGUUUAAAGAUCUUGAUGAGAGCAUUGUGACCACCCCAGAUUUUUCACAUAUAAUGGUGUGAUGGAUGCCCAUGGAAAAAAUGGGAUGAUCAGGGAAAUGGAAUCUGUGCUUUCUAUUAUGAAGAGCAAUCAGUUGAAGCCAGACAUCAUCUCAUUUAAUUUGUUGAUCGAUUCCUAUGGGAGCAAGCAGGAGUUUGAAAAGAUGGAACAAGUGUUCAAGUGCUCGUUGCUUUCUAAUCACAAACCAACACUUCCUACAUUCAAUUCCUUGAUCACAAACUAUGGAAAAACACGUCUCACAUCGUAAUAAGACACUUACACGUGAUAAAGUUUGGUUUAUAUCCCAUACAUCUAUGCAAAAACCCCGUCUUUCGCGAACGCACCAAACACAUUGAUGUUAGAUUACAUUUUAUUAGAGAUAUUGUGUCACAAAAAGUGGUAAGACUUGAAAAGAUACAUACACAGUAUAACCCAUCGGACAUGGGCAUUAAGGUGAUGUCAUUGGUGAAGUUUAGAAAUUGCAUGGAUCUUCUAAACAUUGGUGGAGGUAAUUAAUUUUUAAUUUUAUUGAUUCCUAAUAUUAGAAGUAUUAUAAACAGGUAAGGAUGUCAACAAGUCGAGUCGAAAUUCUAGGCUCAGGAUUGGCUGGAGUAAAAUGUCCAAACUUUUUUUCGGGCCCAAGCCGUUGCUCGACAAAAAAAUUAGGCUCGACCCGAGCUGUCUUUUCGAGUCAAGCCAGGUCAGCUUGGUUUUUUUUUUUUUUUUUUUUUUUAAACUAAAAAGCUCGUCUCGACUUUUUUUUUUAAACUAAAAAGGCAGCGGCAGUAACUGCUACCUUAAAUGGUAGCAACUAAAAUUUUAGUUGCUGCCAAACAAGGUAGCAAACUGUUGCCCAUUUUUGGCGGCAGCACGUUGCCUUAAAAGGUAGCGUGUUGUUGUCUUUACUUUUUUUAAAAAAUAUAUGCUCGGUUUUUUCGAGUCGUCGAGCCACACGGGCUGGUUCGGGCUUUGUCCGGUACCUAAAAAUGGGACUUGGACAGAGUCUCGAGCUUUUUCCGAGUCGACGAGCCCGAUUGCUAUUCCUAUUAACAGGUGAUAAUGUUUUCUUUUUAGGUCUUUUGACACAAAGGUGAAGGUUUGUUAAGCAAAUUGUUGCCAAAUAACCUCCCCGGGCUAUAAUGUAACUUGGUAAUUUUCUCAAUCGGCAUCGAUCUAAUAAUUGAAGGAUAGAUUGACGCCAAAGUGAAAUGACUUGAUCUAAAAACUGUUUGGGCCAUUUGAAACAGCCUAAUUUUAAUUAGAGCUGCUUACGGCCCAUUUCGCGGCUAAUAUUAGAUAACCCAUUUAUGUGCCCAUUUAUAUCCAUAAUGGGCUCGACACCCUAAUUGAUACCUAUAUAUUCUUUGGGGCACUUGUCCUCUUGGUAAUAUGAAUUCACCCCUUUCUCUCUUCUCCGUGUGGGACUCUCUCUGUGUGGGUCUUUCUUACCGUUUUCUUCAUUGCCUUCGUGGUUAUCUCUCAUCUUCAUGAUUAUACUUUUCAUUACACAUCUUAAGUGGGUGAACUAAAGAGCAACUGUGAUCAAGAGGGUGGUUUGAGGGAUUUUGGAUGAUUUGCAUAUUGGUGUUGAUUUGAGGAGAAACUGAGCCCGGUUCAAGCCUUGGUGGUCAUCAUCUUCUGCACAACACUGUCACUCUCUUAAGUUACUUGGGGUUUCUUGGUAACUCUUGAUUCUAAGAUUAUACGAGAUGAUAAUUCAGAUAUGUCAUACUGAAUUGGAAGUCAACUUGUACAAAGAAUGUCAAGAAGGAAACUCUUCUGACAAGUUAUUUAAAUGGCUUAGAAAUCAGCAUAAAUUAUUACAGAAUUUUGGUGAUAAAUAACUAACUGGAAUAUCCCUUUUUUUCCCUUAAUAAAAAGUAAUUGGUUUAUCUUGUGUGUAUACUAUAACUUAGAGACAUUUCAGAAAUACUAAUAUAUGGUCUUGCUCUUGCUGUAUUGUGAAGAUUAGAUGAUUUCAGAAGUAAGAAAUUGGAGCUUCACUUUUACCUCAAUAAAAAGGCUUUCUCUUGAUAUUAUUUUUUAACCUGAUUCAGAAGCCCAUAACAAAAAUGACAAUGAGAAGCCAAUCUUCCAGCUUAUGAUCAUCUGUCAUUCUUAUGCAAAAGAAAUUUCUUGCAAUUAGGUUGUCAAUGUCUCAGGGUUCAUUAAUAUCUACCAUGAUUAACAUCCUUAUGAAUUGAAUCUGAAAAUAAUUAAAUUUGACAACUUAAAAACUUUAAUUGAGAUACUUGUGUUUUGCAUCUUGAGCAGAAUUAUAAAAACUAAAUUUUGGUUUAGCUUUCUUCGAAUUGGAUUUUUAGUUUUUGAAUUUCUAAUUCUUGAAAUAAAAUUGAAUAAACUAAAUUCAUUCAUUUUAUACAUCAAUUAAUUUGUGUGACAUUAUAAGUAAUAUUCAUGUUUAGUACAUUCUUUCACAUAUAGGUGGGAAUGCAUGAACUCACUUAUUGACGAAGAGAUAUUUCAUAAAUAGGGUGGAGUUAUAGGCUUAUAGUAGAUAUCUUGGGCACAUUCCAAAUGAAUUACAUCUGAUAUUGACAUAGAAAGCCUUCUCACAAGAAAAAGUAAAUCUCAUAGUAAAUUUAAUGAUUUGAGAUAUGGUCGAACUAGUUUAGUUAAAAUUUAACACGAUUGUGUAAUUGAGAGUGAAUAAAGGAAUGAUGUGUUCUCAGUCAAACAAAGUGAGAAGAGGAAGGUUAGAGCAAAAUUAAUGUCAUGUUGCUUUAAUCUUCCAUUUGAUUAGAGCAAAAUUAAUAUGUCAUGUUGCUUUAAUCUUCAUUUGAUUGGAAUUGAACCGAAAUGCGUAAAAGGAUUUAUGUACUUGAAGCCGGCUUAGCCAUUGGCUAUUGACUCAUCCCCUUGUCUACAAUCCUUAGGUCUAUUGGUGCCUUCUCUAAGACCCAUGGUAUACUCUUAUCAGUUAACAUUUAAUACCUCUCUCCUCACUUUCACUAAGGAAAUGCUCUUGAGCAUGGCUUUACCUAGCCGACCUCAAAUUUAUCGGAAGGAGGCUUACUUUGUUGUUGUUGUUGUUGUUGUUGUUGUUGUGUAUAUAUAUGUAUAUUUUAGCGUCAACUCAAGCCUCUGUACUUAUUUGUGCCCAUACCAUUUCUGAUGAGUUUCCUUGGUUCUUUUGCCACAGGUACAAAUUUCCGAGAACAAGUGUAUGAAUGUUUUUAGACAUGCUACUAAUUCAAAGAUGCAUCUUUAAGUGAUGAAAAAUGCUGUAGAGGUGAUAUCUUAGGACAUACUUUGGUACACGUAACAUGGAUAUGUUAUAUGCUGUCAUGCUAAUGUUCCUUGCUCUCUAAACAAGCUUUUGAUUUGUACUCCAUCCGUCUCAUAGAGAUAGACGUGCUUUCCUAUUUCGUGUGUCUCAAAAUAUAAGCCACAUUUUUUCUUUUAUUGUUUAUUAUUUUUAUAUUUUGGGUAACUCAGGUGUUCGAGUUUCACUCAACUAAUUUCGAGAAGUGACAACCUUCCCUCUUGGUUUGCUAUUCGGGUAAAUUCGGAUGUGGCUACAGCUUAUACAUAUUUGGACCGGACAUCGGGGAUGCAAUUAUUCCUGUGGAUCGGACUUUCUUUUACGACUUUUGGAUAAGACUCCGGAGGGAUGAUAAAGUAUACCAUAACUCUGUAUCUACAUGACGAUAUCCUUCCAACAUAAACGUUGCCACUUUUCUUAUCAAGAAUGUAGUUGAUUUUUUAUUUUUCUAAUAUGUCCUUAUUUAAUAAGCAUUGUUAUUAACAUAUAUGAACUACUCAUAUUUAAACUAUUAUUGAAUUUAAGAGUAUAUUAGAACAAAUAUUGAGAGAAAAUUAUAUUAAUUACAUUUUCUUAAUCUGUGUAAAAGUGAAAUAAGCCUAUUUUUAUGGGACGGAUGGAGUAUUAUUCUUUUGUUUGUCAAUUUUGAUUCCUUCAUUUCCUUUAGCAUGGCAUUUGUAGCGUCCCAUUUUCUAUCAUGCAUGUAAGUUACUUUUGCUUUCUUGUUUUAAUGACUUAAAAAUUUAGCAGGCGUUUUGCUCUUCAGUGCCG